rnacentral:rRNA from 1 species
UUACGGUCAAAUCACGCUGAAACACCGGUUCUCGUACGAUCACCGAAGUUAAGCAGCGUAGAGCCAGGUCAGUACUUAGAUGGGGGACCGCUUGGGAACACCUGGUACUGUAA